GUUGUGGCUCAGUGGUAGAGCGCUUCCCUAGCACAUUUGAGGACCUGGGUUCAAUCCUCAGCACCACA
rnacentral:tRNA from 1 species